CUUGUGUAUUACAAUGAGAAAAUAAACCUAUUUAUACUAAAAACCUAGCAAGUAGUUUGAAAAGGAAUAAAACUCUAAAAAUAUAGAAGUUGCCAAAAUUAAGAAUUCUAGACAAAAUAAAACUCCUAUGAAUAUAGAAAUUACAAAAAAUAAAGAAUUCUAGCCAAAACUAACAACUCGUGAAUUUUGGAAACUCUCUGCCGGAAUUGAUGUUGCGGAUCAUAUCAGUCCCUCUCUCUUCGAAAGGAUUCGACCUCAAAUCCAAACCUUGAAUGUUCAAAUUAUAGCCUUUAUUUCCAAUCAACGCAGGAACAUGAAAUGGUCCAUCUCCCCUCAGAUGCAAUUUGGACCACUUUUGAAUUCGAACCCUUCUCUUGCAUAUGUAAAUCCAAUCUCCUUUACAUGGAUCAAAAUGUGUAUGUUUUGAAGGCUUCCUCUUGUCAUUUUGUGAUGCUCUAAGAAUGAUUUCAGCUGAUAAAUCACCGUUCAUAGGUGAUUGUAGUAACGACAAUUCAAAUUGAUACAUAUUUCCCGGCAUACCAAUUUUGUAGUUCAAUCCAUUGCAUAGGAACUCCUUGCAAACAAAUUCCUUCAAUCGCAUUUGAAACUCCGUUGUCUCCUUGGGAAUCACAAAUACAAUCUCCGGUAUAUAUGACAUCUCCCAAGCAAGAUGCGGUUGUUGUUGAAGUUUAUACACCAUUUCAUAAUCAAUGCCUGGGUUAUAAGGGAUUCCGAUCUGAUUGAUUUCUGGAAUCGAAUCUUCGCUAUCCUACAAAAUAGAAUUAUUCAAAAUGGGGAGGGAAGUGUUAGUUAUCGCCAACGCCUCCUCCACUCCACUCUCCUUUUCCACCUCCAAAGACUUUCCCUCAUUUUGUUGUAGCGCCACUUCUAAUUUAACCACUUCUUCAUUCUUAUUUUUACCCUCAACCUCCUUUUCAUUUUUCCAUGGCUCUUCUCCCUUUUUCUCACAAUCAACCACCUCACUAAUUUUAUUUUUACUCUUUUGCAUAUUUGGAUGAUUAAUUUGAGACCUAAGAAUGUCGAGAAUCUCGGAGAAUUCAUGUUUAUAAUCCACCACAGUCCUCUUGCUUGAUGUACUACCCGUACACUUUGCACCAGUUGUUUUCUUUUCCACUGGAUAAUCAUCUCCAUAGCAUCUCCUAGGCUUCUCCCUAAAUUCGACUUCUCGCCAAUCUCUCCUAUAAUAAUUUGUAUCCUUUCUCCCAUGCCUAUCGCCUCUAUUUCUCGAUUCCCAUACUUUAUCAAUGCCACAACCAUAUCCAUAUUCAUCACAAUUUUUCAUCCUAGGUUCUCGUAUCCUCACAUUGAACCCCUCAUCUCAUUGAUUCUUAUGAAUACUUUUCAAUUUCACAUCCAACCUAUUCGAUUUAUUUUCUAUAUUCUGAACCAUCAUCUCAAACCUCUGUAUCAUCCUUUUCGACAUUUGGAAUUGACUUUGACGUGAAUUUGACAUUUUUUUUGACUACUUUUCUGACUCUUUUUUUAUUUUUAUUUUUACUCUUGUUUGACUCUUUUUUUUCUUUGACUCUUUUUUUUUCAACUUUUUUUUUUGAUGCCGUACGGAUGAACAGUAAAACACAACUAGGUUACUAAAGAUUUUGGAUCUAAGACUCCACAAACUGAAAGGAAAAAACUACAAAAACUCGAAGAACACAAAUAAUAAAACAAAGACUCGAUAAAAAAAUAAAAAGAUAUAAACCUCGAUCUUGGUGCCUUAGCUCUGAUACCAAAUAAUGCGAACCCGAUUAGUAAGGUCGCUAUUGAAUCCACAGGAAUUGACAUCGGAUCCCAAGAAUGUCAAAAUAUGUCCAAGAUUUAGGAAUCGACCCGCAAAAGUGAAUCAAGCAACCGAAUGUAUAUGAAACGAACGACUUUUUAAUCACAUAAUCUUGAAAUCUCAUCCAGAUUUGUGAAUUUGAAUUCCGAAAUAUUGAAUUAAGCAACCAAAGGUAUAUUAAACCAAUGACCUCUUAAUUACACAAUAACGAAAUUGCACCCGAUAAUUUUGAACACCACAAGGAAAUUAAUCCCUUGAUAAGUUCGACCCCUUCAUUGAAGAACAAAGCUUGAAAGGAGAAAAUUUCAAUAAUUC
rnacentral:lncRNA from 1 species